rnacentral:rRNA from 1 species
UACGAAGGGUGCAAACGUUGCUCGGAAUUAUUGGGCGUAAAGAGCUCGUAGGCGGCUUGUCACGUCGGAUGUGAAAACCCGCGGCUCAACUGUGGGCUUGCAGUCGAUACGGGCAGGCUGGAGUUCGGUAGGGGAGACUGGAAUUCCUGGUGUAGCGGUGAAAUGCGCAGAUAUCAGGAGGAACACCGAUGGCGAAGGCAGAUCUCUGGGCCGUAACUGACGCUGAGGAGCGAAAGCAUGGGGAGCGAACAGG